UGGGGAAUUUUGGACAAUGGGGGCAACCCUGAUCCAGCAAUGCCGCGUGUGUAAAGAAGGCCUUCGGGUUGUAAAGCACUUUUGUCCGGGAAGAAAUCGCACCUGAUAAUACCGGGUGUGGAUGACGGUACCGGAAGAAUAAGGACCGGCUAACUACGUGCCAGCAGCCGCGGUAAUACGUAGGGUCCAAGCGUUAAUCGGAAUUACUGGGCGUAAAGCGUGCGCAGGCGGUUGUGCAAGACCGAUGUGAAAUCCCCGGGCUUAACCUGGGAAUUGCAUUGGUGACUGCACGGCUAGAGUGUGUCAGAGGGGGGUAGAAUUCCACGUGUAGCAGUGAAAUGCGUAGAGAUGUGGAGGAAUACCGAUGGCGAAGGCAGCCCCCUGGGAUAACACUGACGCUCAUGCACGAAAGCGUGGGGAGCAAACAGG
rnacentral:rRNA from 2 species